GCGCGGGCGAGGGGUACAGGGGCGGAGUACCUUCAAUGGACAGGAACUGGCAAAGAGUUGCAAAAUAGCCGAGUGCUCUCCCCCACGCCCUCGGGGGUCGCGGGCGCUAGGACCAGGGCUCCCCGAAAGGAGGGCAACCCCCAAUUCGGGCCUAAAAGGAAACUUUCCGGGCCGCGGCUGCACCUGACUCCUCACCGCCCCUCCACCCCACCCCACGCCCGCCAGGCCGCCCGCCCCGCCCCGGCCUGGCCGCCCGGAGCGCAGAGGGGGAUAAAUAAAUUCAACGAUUACCGGAAUCGAGGGAGGUGGGGGGCGUCUGCGAGAGACCAGGGGGAAGGGGUGGGCGGGUGCCCAUUCCCCACUCCUAGGCCCUGACGCCCCUGUCCCGGCAACCCGGGCCUGCCGCCCCGCGGGGGGGCCUCCCGGCCGGCGCACGAUUCGGCCCCGCAGCGCCGCCGUCCCGCCCGGAGGCCCCGGGAUCAGAGUGAGAGGCGCUGGCAAUGGACUCGGAAGCUCGGCUGCCGCUGUUACUGCUCCCCCCUGGGCUCCGGCGAGAGCCUUUCCCUGUCAAGCAAGAGGGCCAAGAAGGCAGGGCUGCCGGGGCUGCACAAGAAGAGGCAGCAGCCUCCUAUAGCACCACUACAGGCACUGCGAGGACAUAACACCAGAGAGCCGCUCCUCUGCCCUCCGAAACGACAACUUUCCUACCAUCUUGGAGGCAGAGGAAAGGGGGGCCGGGGGGAAAAGUGCACCCGCUCCCGAUAAAGUACACACUUCUACUUCUCAUCUCUGGAAAAAAGUCCACACCGGCCGUCUACACCGGCGCCUGGGGGAAAAAAGCAGGGAAGAAACUGGGGGCGCUUGAGAAACGUUUUCAGUUGCUCCACGGGGAAAAAUGUUUCUGCAUCUUCUGAUGGAAAGAAAUCUUUACAAGACACAGGUUUUCCGGCACAGUAAGAGAUGGCAGCGUACAACCUGGAAAGGGCCUCCGCCAGAAGCUGACCACGACGGCACCCUGAUGGUGGAGUUCCUUGACCACGACGGCACCCUGAUGGUGGAGUUCCUUGACCACGACGGCACCCUGGUGGUGGAGUUCCUUGACCACGACGGCACCCUGGUGGUGGAGUUCCUUGACCACGACGGCACCCUGGUGGUGGAGUUCCUUGACCACGACGGCACCCUGAUGGUGGAGUUCCAGGCUCUGGAGCUGUCAAAAAUAAAGGCGCAUAUAAGCUGCCUGGUUUGUGGUGUUUUGUUAUAGCAACCCAAACGGACUAAAACAGCAGGAUUUUCCCAGUUCUUGGAAAAAUCCUGAAGGGAAACUCGUCAGUAGAUAAAUUUUGGCUGCCUAGUGAUAGAUUCUUAAAAAUAUAUUCUAUUCGGGGCGCCUGGGUGGCUCAGUUGGUUAAGCGACUGCCUUCGGCUCGGGUCAUGAUCCUGGAGUCCCAGGAUCGAGUCCCACAUGGGGCUCCCUGCUCAGCAGGAAGUCUGCUUCUCCCUCUGACCCUCUUCCCUCUCG
rnacentral:lncRNA from 1 species